UCACCAUGCCGCGCUACUGCCUCUUUGGGGACACCGUCAACACAGCGUCACGCAUGGAGUCCACGGGCCUGCCAUACCGGAUCCACGUCAACGCCCGCACGGUGGCCAUCCUACGGGCGCUGCAGGAGGGCUUCAAGCUGGACAUCCGGGGCAAGACUGAGCUCAAGGGGAAGGGCGUGGAGGACACGUACUGGCUGGUGGGGCGCGAGGGCUUCACCAAGCCCAUCCCCACGCCCCCCGACCUGCUGCCGGGG